UGGGGAAUUUUCCGCAAUGGGCGAAAGCCUGAUGGAGCAAUACCGCGUGGAGGAAGAAGGAUCGUGGUCCGAAAACUCCUUUUCUUAAGGAAGAAACAAUGACGGUACUUAAGGAAUAAGCACCGGCUAACUCUGUGCCAGCAGCCGCGGUAAUACAGGGGGUGCAAGCGUUGUCCGGAAUGAUUGGGCGUAAAGCAUCUGUAGGUGGUUUUUAAAGUCGACUGUUAAAUCCCAGAGCUCAACUUUGGCAGGGCAGUCGAGCACUUAGAAACUUGAGUACGGUAGGGGUAGAGGGAAUUCUUAGUGGAGCGGUGAAAUGCACAGAGAUUAGGAAGAACACCAGUGGCGAAAGCGCUCUACUGGGCCGUGACUGACACUGAGAGAUGAAAGUUGGGGGAGCGAAAGGGAUUAGAUACCCCUGUAGU
rnacentral:rRNA from 1 species